AGUCCCGCCCCCACGCAACAGCAUAUCACUGCGGGACGCGCCGUCGCUGCACGGAUGCGCCCGCGGAUGCGAGUCAGUGGCGGGUUCUGGAACCAAGAAGUCGGAAAUGAAAAUGUCAGCAGGGUCAUGCUUCCUCUGAAACUCUAGGUAAAAAGGCUUCCUUGCCUUUCCUAGUUUCUGGUGGUGUCCAGCCAGCCUAGGAGUUGUUUGACUUGUAGCUGCAUCACUCGGAUCUCUUAACUCCAAUAGGGUGUUUUCUCUGUCUCUCUUUAAAAGGACAAAGGACCACCCUACUCCAGUAUAACCUGAUCUUAAGUAAUUACAUUUGCAGUGACAGUUUCCAGAUCAAGUCGCAUGCUAAGGUUCUGGGAAGGACAUGAAUUGGGGCGGGGGGGGGGUGACACUUGCCAACCUCAUAUAGCUGUCAAAGAGCUUAAGAAGUUGGCAAGCCAAAAGCUGAGAAUUUGCUGUAGUACACAGGAAUUCAAACGUAGUUCAGUUGGAUCCAAGAAGUUUUCGUGGACAUUUGAACUAUUCCCUUGAGAGGUGGGUAGGAUUUGGAUGUGCCGUCAUAGCUCAUACCCAGCAUUCUAGGCAAACAAACAUCACAGACAAGAAAGCACAGGUUGAAAUGUGAAGUAAGUUAGGUUAAAGCAGGAAGGAUCUUGAAUACAAGCUAAAGAGUUUGGAUUCUAUUCUGUAUUGAAAAUGAGCAGUAAAUCAAAGUGUUUUGGCAGAGGAGUUGUGCUCUGAAAAUUAAUUAGCAACUUGAGUCAAACCUACUUUGUGUUACUUAGUCCAUUUUAAGAAGUCUUAAAUCCUAUUCUCUGAGCAUAUCCUGUUAAUUUUCAUCCUGGUGUCUCUGCUCAUGCUGUCCCUUAUUCCUGGAGUGCUGCCAUCAAGGAGAGUUGUUCAGAUCAUUUUAUGUUUGCAUCCCAGUAUUGCCAAAACCUGACAAAGGUAGCACAAGAAGAAAAAACUACCAAACUCCCAUAAAUACAAAGCCCUAAAAUAAAAUAUUAGCAAAUUCAGUCGUGCCCUCCAUCUGGAACAAAAAAGGUUUUAUCUCGGAAAUGAUUUAACAUUAGAAAGCCUGUUUCUAUAAAUCACUGUAUUAGUAGCUUAAAUCUGUAUGAGGUUUAAAUCUGUAUGAUCGUCUCAAUUGAUAAAGUGUUUUUUGAAAAUA